GAUGAACGCUAGCGGCAGGCCUAACACAUGCAAGUUGAGGGGUAGAGGAAGCUUGCUUCCUUGAGACCGGCGCACGGGUGCGUAACGCGUAUGCAAUCUACCUUUUACAGAGGGAUAGCCCAGAGAAAUUUGGAUUAAUACCUCAUAGUAUAUAUCAUUCGCAUGUUUGGUAUAUUAAAGUUCCAACGGUAAAAGAUGAGCAUGCGUCCCAUUAGUUAGUUGGUAAGGUAACGGCUUACCAAGACGAUGAUGGGUAGGGGUCCUGAGAGGGAGAUCCCCCACACUGGUAAUGAGACACGGACCAGACUCCUACGGGAGGCAGCAGUGAGGAAUAUUGGUCAAUGGACGCAAGUCUGAACCAGCCAUGCCGCGUGCAGGAAGACGGUCCUAUGGAUUGUAAACUGCUUUUGUACGGGAAGAAACACUCCUACGUGUAGGAGCCUGACGGUACCGUAAGAAUAAGGAUCGGCUAACUCCGUGCCAGCCGCCGCCGUAACAC
rnacentral:rRNA from 1 species